ACGGGUGAGUAAUACAUCGGAACGUACCCAGAAGUGGGGGAUAACGUAGCGAAAGUUACGCUAAUACCGCAUACGUUCUACGGAAGAAAGUGGGGGACCUUCGGGCCUCAUGCUUUUGGAGCGGCCGAUGUCUGAUUAGCUAGUUGGUGAGGUAAAGGCUCACCAAGGCGACGAUCAGUAGCUGGUCUGAGAGGACGACCAGCCACACUGGGACUGAGACACGGCCCAGACUCCUACGGGAGGCAGCAGUGGGGAAUUUUGGACAAUGGGCGCAAGCCUGAUCCAGCAAUGCCGCGUGAGUGAAGAAGGCCUUCGGGUUGUAAAGCUCUUUUGUCAGGGAAGAAACGGCCGAGGCUAAUACCUUUGGCUAAUGACGGUACCUGAAGAAUAAGCACCGGCUAACUACGUGCCAGCAGCCGCGGUAAUACGUAGGGUGCAAGCGUUAAUCGGAAUUACUGGGCGUAAAGCGUGCGCAGGCGGUUUUGUAAGUCUGACGUGAAAUCCCCGGGCUUAACCUGGGAAUUGCGUUGGAGACUGCAAGGCUGGAGUCUGGCAGAGGGGGGUAGAAUUCCACGUGUAGCAGUGAA
rnacentral:rRNA from 1 species